AUACUUAGUUGGCAGGGGAAAUAGUAUGAUAAAGAAGGUGGUUUUCCAGGGCAAGACAAUCCAGAUGUGCUGACUGCCCCCUGAGAUUUCUCCAAAUAUGGAAACUGAACUGAACAAUUUAUGGUAGCAGGGACUAAAAUUUCCCCC
rnacentral:snRNA from 1 species